GCAAAUGCUUUUGGCCAGUUCUGUAAUUAUCUCAUCAGCAUCAUCCAGCAAAAGUAUUUACCGGUACUCAUUUGAUCACAGUUUAUAAGAUCAGAUGUCCGUUGAGCAGAUUAGUUGCAUCAGUCACAUGCCCGCCUCUUACCUUUCUACCUGGUUGCAUGGGCAAAUUCACAAGUGGUGUACUUUUCUAAACUAUGUGUUUCGCCUACUGUCAAAUUAGAAGAGAAAUUACAAUAAAUUGCGCAGUGGAUUAACAAGAUCAUAGGUCAAGACGGCUGCCAGAUUGAAGCAACCAGCGACCGGCCAAAGGGGGGGUGGGUUCAGGACAUCACCUAAUCAUGAGAUCAUUGCACCUCCGGAGGAGGGGCCAGUGCCGCUGUGGCCCCACCCCUAAAAUUACAACAGCUCAUAACGCAGUAGAGAAUUGUACUCGUGCAGUCCUCCUCCGUUCUCCUCCUGAGCUGAAAAAAAGAGUCUAAACUCCAUCAAUUGGUGAAGUUUUGGUUCCGAGACUCUACGCACUCUGACUGCAAUAUUUCAUUGGCCGGACAACACCCUUGUGACCAAGCACCACCAUCAUUGGAUUUUUCCAUUUCAUCGCUACUUACCUGCAACAUACUGCAAGUCCCGCAGAAGAUUUGAGUGGUUUCCUGAACUAAUCUACAGCAGAUCGCUGAAUGGGAGAAAGAGACUGACUUCUACACAGCACCAUUGGUCUUUGUGACAGUCCUCAAAAGAAAAUGAACAGAGCUCAGAUGGGCGGGCCAAACGCGGUACCACGUGGGAGAGUGCACCCCAAUGACAACAGGGACAGCGGAUGGUUUGCUUUUACACAAUGGAAUAUUCUCAGUCUACUGAUUCUCGCGAUAGCCAUCAUAGUUUGGCCACUCGUCCUGACCCAUGACAAGUGGGAAAGCGUACACGAUAAUCACCAACAAUUAAGUAAUUUGACCACAAUUGCUAUUAACGCUCUUUAUGAGCAACUUCACAACGCUACCACAAUGGCUGAACAAAACCGUGUUAUCAUCGAUCUGCUUUUGGGCAGAAGAGAGAAAGUGUGUGCCAGGUUUAUAAACAUUUGCACAGCACAAUUGGCGGAAGAGACUCAGAUGGCUUGAAGUUCUGCCCUUUAACCACAAUUAAACCCCUAUUUUCUGGGGGAGGAAAAUUUUUGAACAGGAAGGCAUUUUUGACACCUUGAAAGUAGAUCAAAUCAGGCGAGUAAAAAUUAGCCUCUUUUAGAAGAAAAUAAAUCAUUUAAGCAUCUAAUGUAUCGACAAUAUGUAUAUCAUUCCACAAUAAGCAAUACAAAUGGCAACACAGGUCGAAAAGAUAAUGGAUAGCAUGCUAGUCAUUUUGCCUGCUGUGUUCGUAAUUUUUCUUGCGCUAGCGUUUGACUUCAACGUAUGUCUGAAAAAAUGUAGCACGUGCUACAUUUCUGAUAUCUUGUUGCCCGAUGAAAUGUGCGUGGAAUUAAAAACUCUCGGAUUUCAACUAGAUACUAUUGCAUACCUAUCUUGUUUCAAUCCAAAAACUACUUGUAGCAUGUAUUAGCAAGAGUAAAGGCAUAGUUGUGAAUGGCCAAAACGAGUGGUCGAGAUUUUUUCAAAUAUUUUUUUUUUUAAAGUUUUUUUAUUUUUCAUCUUUUGGAUCGGAAUAUGUUAUCAUCUAAAAUAUCGGGAAAAUGAGAACGUAAAAAAACAUUUUUUUUUGCAAGCGCCUGACAGGGGAAGAGCUAACCACCAAAUGUUCCAGUCACACCUUCUUAUCUGUAUAUAAGGAAGACUGUACUCUCUGCUUAUUGCGCAUUUUUCCAUGCAGCUCGUCCUGUCACUAAAUGUGCCCAGAAAUUUUUGCAAUUAAAACUGCGUAGUAUUGAUCUCUUGCCUCCAGUCUUCAUUUAACAAUCCAGUCUAGCCGUCUCACCUGAACUAAAAAACGAACAUGCGGACGACCGGAAAGACUGCCUCCAACAAUAUAUACAUAUAUUUAUAUAUACAGUAUGUGUGUAUAAACAAGUUUUCUAAAAGAGAAAAAUAUGGGCGGCGCCAUCUUGGAAAAUGUCUGCUCCGAACUUCCUGUUCAGAAAAAACAUCAUUUGUUACGGUUGAAGUAAGCAGUGUGUUGACAAAGUUAAAACUGCAAAAUCAAACCAGAGGAAGCCACGGAAUCUCCAAAAAUGGAUUCAGCACGACGUAGCUGACACUCUGAGACGUUCUGUGCUGUGCUUGAAUUCCUGGAAGCGCCUAUAUAUGCAUAUAAGUGAAAUGUUUCGAAGAGCAUCCAGCUUCAAAGCGCCAGUGUGGAUUUAAACUUAAUGAUAUACCUAAAAGAUUGUAUGAUUGUUCUUAACACUUCAUUGAUAUUCGUGGACAAAAUUAUAGCAACCUGUCAGCCUGUGUUGACGUGAGGUGUAGAUUGAUACGCCGGCCACUUGAGGGACCCAAAUGAGGUGAAAUUACAAAUAAUAUUACAUUUGCCGAACGUAGAAGGGCUAUCACGGAUUUUGUUGAUACAAGAAAAUACUACAAGGUAUGUACAUAUAAACAAAAAUAGUACGUCAUUCUUUUUUAUUGCAGAUAUUGAUCGCAGUAAAACAUUUGGACAACAUGAGCCUCCCCUCAUCAAAGUAGAACGCACGUAGUCUCGAUAUUUGUCCAUCGACGUACAGUAAGGGUUGUUGUGAGGCACAUCAAUUUGUCUUCCCUUGCCUAACAGUGUUUUCUGCCUGUAAACAAACAAAAAAACUUGUAUCACUUGCAUUUAUGCGUUUACAUAAAUGUGCCAUCCGAAAUGUACUGAUUAGCAACAGGCUAGCAGCAGAUAGAAUGUGUUGAAGCAAGAUUUAAGAUUUAGUAUUUUUUGAGCAUCGGACAGAUGAAAAUGCAGGGAUAGGAAGAACAUACCUUCCAUAACACAGCAGCAACAAUGCUACAAAAACACACGGUCUUUGUGGUGGCACAAGCUUGGUUCCACAUCUGCCUUCAUGAACACAUUGUCCUCCCCUGUCGUGAUGAUGGGAGAUGGAUGCGAUAUUUCCAAAUUGUCUCUUUUAAGGGAUUUUGAUAAGUAAUGUUACUCCAGCUCCACUGUUGUUUUGAAUGGAGAAAUUCUAAAAUGAAAGUUGCUUGCAGACAUGUAGAAGUAAAGCGGAAGUACCUCGGAAACUUGUCUAUACCAUGAAGCGAUAGUUAUGAGGUAGAUACAGUAUCUGUGACCUAUUUACAGACGUAAUUUGUUGAAAACACAAGAGUGAAUAACUUUUUAAAGUAAUUUUUCUUUCUAAAACUAAAUAAUCGACAUCAAUAGACCCUACCCACGUGACGUCACAACUCCUUCCUCCUGACUGGUGCCGCCCAAUUGUCCGUCAACACAUCAUGUUUACCUGUUACGGCUACGUACAUUCCUCCUAUUUACGACGUGUUUUUCUGCUUGUUAACAUUAAUAAUCAAAAUGGUGAAGGCGUGUGUGGCGGUCGGUUGCAAUAACAGAGAAGAUAGACGGAGAAGACGGAGAGACUUGAAGUUCUACCGGAUUCCGAGAGACCCCGGAGAGAAGAGAGCGAGAUGGGCUGCUGCAAUUCGACGAGAAAACUGGGCUCCAAACGAUUACCACAGAUUAUGUAGUAGUCAUUUUAUAUCUGGUAAGAUGCAUUUAAUAUAUAUUUAGAGGGUUUUGGGCUGACAACCACAAUUAAGAUCAUUGCUAGGCUAAUCGCCGACAACAUACACGUAUGUAUGUAGUGAGAGUGCUCUCGCUAAAUCAUAUAAACAUUAAAAGCCCUAACUCCAUUGACAAACGACAUGAAAUACAUUAGACUUGACAGUGGAUGUUAGCAAUAACAAAAGAUUUUGAAUUGAAAAUUUCGUAACUCACCUUUCCAAGCACAAGAUAGAUUCCUGUCGAAUUUUCGUGGACGAGGACCUGUUUCACCCAACCAGCAACGAAGUAUUGAAAGCCUCCAAGCUCUUAAAGUUUUUCAAACUUUCGUGAGAACAGGCUGAUUUUGUGUGGACAAGAUAGUUGUACAUAUCAGGGUAGCUAGCAGAUGUCAGGCAAAUACGGUGGAGACAGCGGGUCGAAAAACAUCGAUUUAGGCAUCAAAUAUGGAUCUGGCGAAUGGAUAAACUGAAGCUUUUCCACAUAACGCCUUUUAUGCAACGCAUCAAGUGAGUUUACGGCAUCCGAAAGCACCGGGUCUUCCAUGAAAUGCAUUAUAAAUUGCUCGAUCAAUUGAGACCAUUGAUAAUGCAGACACAAAAUGACGGACAAGGGGGCGGAACCAUACAGCGAGCACGUGAUUUUGUGACGUCGGUGGGUAGGGUGUAUAAUCGAGUCCAAGCUAAAAAUAACAGGUAAUUUGGAAAUGUAAUUCCUUACCUUCUAUGGCUGGGUUGAAACAAAAGCUGUUGCGAUGUGUCUGUAAAUGUGGGUCUCAAGGGUAAAUGGACCAAUUAAAAAUAGUCCCCAGGUAUACUGCGCGAUGAAACCGCUAUGGCAACAUCUAGAUUAAUGCUGUCAAAUUUAUCGCGUUAACGGGUGGUAAUUAAUUUUUUAAAUUAAUCACGUUAAAAUAUUUGCCGCAUUUAACGCAUGCGCGGAAUGACCCGCUCAUGCAUUGCUUCAAACAAAUUACAAUGACGCCGUUUUUUGCACAUUGAGAGCUGAGGCAGAGAAAGGUGUCUUGUUUUGUGCUUUUUCUUAACAAAGGUAUACCACACGUUGUCACGUCCCGGACAUCUUGUUAAUGUUUUUUGUCAGUUCAUGUCAGAUUCUUUUAUUUUGGUAGUUGCGUGCCUCCUUGGGCUAACUUUACUUCCUGCUCUUGCCAAUCAGGCUGAUCAUGUCCACCUGUGACCCUCUGUAUAAAUAGCCUGCUUCAACCUUGCUCUGUGUCGGUUUGUCUGUUAUCCUGCCACGUCCUAUGCCACAUCCUUGUGUAAGCCCUUUUUUGAUCACGAUUCAUGUUUUUGAACCCAUGCCUUUUUGUUUCUUGAAGAAGUAACUCAGUUUAUUGAUGUCCAGCUGUUGCUGUGAAUUUUGGUUGAUUGAUGUCCAGCUGUUGCUGUGAAUUUUUGUUAACCUUUUUUGAACUCUACUAAUUGGAGAAUAAACACUCUGUUUGAGCCCAACUAUCGAGCAUUUGGGUCCUUGGUGCAUCCCUGUCACACGUGAAGUGCUUGCACUUUGUUUCUUUAUUAGCACACUCAGCUUCAACCUUAGGGCUCUCGGCAGGCCGUAACUCUAACUCACUCCUGCAUCAUGUGAGUUGACAACAUUGGCGCCGCGUGCACUUGAGGGUGCCUCUGAUAAUUCUAUAUCAGAACAUUACAAAAGGCGAGUGGACACAGGCGUUCAUUGGACCGCGCAGUUUAGUGGCAUAAGCUUCGGUAACUCCUUCACAACAAACAUAAGUAUCAUUUAGUGAAAACAAAACAAAAAUAACAUCUCUCUCUCAAAAAAAAAAAAAAUAAUAAUGAUAAUGUUCACAAAAAGAAAAGUGCUGCAAUCUGUAUUAAUGAGGCCCUAUUCUCACACAGUUAAACAACAGUGCAAAGAAAACUGACAUUCCCAAUCUAAAUAGCUAUGCAAAAUACACAUAAAACUUACUCAGACUUUGGUCAAACUCUAUUCAAACAUUUCGUUUAGUUCAACAAAUACACUGGAUGGCAAUAUUUAGUCACAAUAUACAAACUAUAAGAGAUCUCGUACGUUGUGAAGCCAGCACUCAAAUGACCGUGAUGGACCAGUAAACAGGGAACUACGGUGUCAGUCCAGGGACAAAACACACUCAUUGGCUUGAUUUCUAAGUAAUUUAAAACUUGCCAUUGACACCUUGUGGUGUAUUUCAGUCACUACCUUAUGUAGUUAAAGAUACUGUGGAAGAACGGCAGGGAGCCCAUGUGACAUCACCACUCGGCGACGUCAACAAUGGCGAGCUACUAGUUUAUUUUUUGAUUGAAAAUUUUACAAAUGUUGUUAAAACGAAAACAUUAAUAGGGGUAUUAAUAUAAAAUUACUAUAACUUGUACUAACAUUUAUCUUUUAAGAACUCCCUGGAGCUUGGACCCCUUUAACAGAAAAAAAUGUUAAUAAUGUUAAUGCUAUCUUGUGGAUUUAUAGUCAUGAUAAACAAAUACAGUACUUGUGUACAGUAUGUUGAAUGUAUAUAUCCGUCUUGUGUCUUAUCUUUCCAUUCCAACAAUAAUUUACAGAAAAAUAUGGCAUAUUUUAGAGAUGGUUUGAAUUGCGAUUAAUUACGAUUAAUAAAUUUUAAAGCUGUGAUUAACUCGAUUAAAAAUUUUAAUCGUUUGACAGCCCUAAAAACAUAUUGUUCUAUCAAACAAAACAAUUAUUUGGGAUAAAAUACAGUAGUUUAUUUAAAAGGCUGUUGCAAGGACAAAAACGGCUUUUUCAGCCUUGUGUGUUUUCAGCUAUACUAAAACAUGGCACUGAUGAGGGCCGUAAAUGAUUAUGUUUUGGGAAAUACAACGUUUUGGUAUCCUCGAUGAUUGUCUCUGUUACUAGAGUAAUUGCUGUUUUUGUCACCUAUGGAGGCUGUUGUAUUCCAUGCAUGCGUGUUGUGGUGAAAACUGAUAAAGGGAAAAGUGAGCCUCCUCCGUAUCAAAUGAUGGCCACUUGCGUUGCUGGAAAAUGAUGGUGAAAUUUAUGUUGAUGUAAAGUAGAUGGUGUAAAGUGUGCGUGGGAUGUUUUUUUCUAUUAAUUACUUUAUUUUUACCAAUCUAAUCACACCUAAUUUUGAGUAUUCUUCAUGUUUUACUUUUUUGCAACUCAUUGCAUUUUGUUUUUAUAGUUAUACUCUACUUAAUCACCUUUUGAUUCAUUUAUUCAUUCACUUUUAUACAUUUUUUCAUAAGACAUUUACAGUCAUUUAUAUUUUACUCUUAUAUACUCACUUUUUUUUUUGGGGAGUUUGCGUUUUUGGUUAUUUUGAUUUUAGAUUGAUUAGCAACUUGUGUUGAAAUUAUUGUGCAUACAGUUAACAUUUAUGCUUUCCUUAUUAUAGUUAGGAUAACUUCUGUCUAGUCAGCCUUUUCUUUGUGCUGAGCCAUGUGGCCCCCAUGUAGUCUAUGUAUUCUAUUCUGUGUUCUAUGUUGCUUUCCUGCCCCUCCCGUCCUUUUGUUUGCCUCUGAAUAAAGACUCUUUCACUGUUGACUUGUUAAGUUACUUUUUAUUCAGGUUUGUUUUUUACAAUUCCCCUUUCACUCUGCUGGAUGGUUUAAAGAGGGGUUUGUUUUCUGUUAAUUUGAUUUAAGGUCGAGAUGGGGGGGCUGCUAAAUUUUAAAGUAAACCUAAAACUUUAUCCUAAUGUUAAUUAUUCUUUUAAUCCAAAUGAUUGUUAAUACACGAGUCAUUCAAUAUUAGUUAAGACUAAAUAUUUUUCCUCAGGGUUGAGGAGAUUCAAAAGAGGGAAUGGUAAAAUUGUCAUGCCUAUAACAACCUAGACCAUUCAUUCA